UGGGGAAUAUUGGACAAUGGGCGCAAGCCUGAUCCAGCCAUGCCGCGUGAGUGACGAAGGCCUUAGGGUUGUAAAGCUCUUUUGGCGGGGACGAUAAUGACGGUACCCGCAGAAUAAGCCCCGGCUAACUUCGUGCCAGCAGCCGCGGUAAUACGAAGGGGGCUAGCGUUGUUCGGAAUUACUGGGCGUAAAGCGCACGUAGGCGGACUUUCAAGUCAGGGGUGAAAUCCCGGGGCUCAACCUCGGAACUGCCUCUGAUACUGUUGGUCUUGAAUCCGGUAGAGGUGGGUGGAAUUCCUAGUGUAGAGGUGAAAUUCGCAGAUAUUAGGAAGAACACCGGUGGCGAAGGCGGCCCACUGGACCGGUAUUGACGCUGAGGCGCGAAAGCCAGGGGAGCAAACGGGAUUAGAUACCCCAGUAGUCCCUGAGCGGGCUGGCAAGGCGCAU
rnacentral:rRNA from 1 species